UACGUAGGGGGCAAGCGUUGUCCGGAAUCAUUGGGCGUAAAGCGCGUGUAGGCGGCUUGGUAAGUCAGCUGUGAAAGUCCAGGGCUUAACCCUGGGAUGCCGGUUGAUACUGCCAAGCUCGAGUCCGGAAGAGGCGAGUGGAAUUCCUGGUGUAGCGGUGAAAUGCGCAGAUAUCAGGAGGAACACCAAUGGCGAAGGCAGCUCGCUGGGACGUGACUGACGCUGAGACGCGAAAGCGUGGGGAGCAAACAGG
rnacentral:misc_RNA from 1 species